CUGUCUCUUGAAGUUCCUCUGAGCACUUCACACAUGUGUUUAGCUAGUCUUAUUAGAAAGAAUGGUCCUUAUUUGUGAAGUGUUUGGGGGAACUUCAGGGUUCAG